GAUGAACGCUGGCGGCGUGCUUAACACAUGCAAGUCGAACGAUUAAACUGGCUUCGGCCAGAUAUAGAGUGGCGAACGGGUGAGUAACACGUGACCAACCUGCCCCGCGCUCCGGGACAACCGCUGGAAACGGCGGCUAAUACCGGAUGCUCCGGGGAGGCCCCAUGGCCUCCCCGGGAAAGCCUUAACGGCGCGGGAUGGGGUCGCGGCCCAUUAGGUAGACGGCGGGGUAACGGCCCACCGUGCCCGCGAUGGGUAGCCGGACUGAGAGGUCGACCGGCCACAUUGGGACUGAGAUACGGCCCAGACUCCUACGGGAGGCAGCAGUGGGGAAUUUUGCGCAAUGGGGGCAACCCUGACGCAGCAACGCCGCGUGCGGGACGAAGGCCUUCGGGUUGUAAACCGCUUUCAGCAGGGAAGACUUUGACGGUA
rnacentral:rRNA from 1 species